rnacentral:rRNA from 1 species
GUGGGGAAUCUUGCGCAAUGGGCGAAAGCCUGACGCAGCCAUGCCGCGUGAAUGAUGAAGGUCUUAGGAUUGUAAAAUUCUUUCACCGGGGACGAUAAUGACGGUACCCGGAGAAGAAGCUCCGGCUAACUUCGUGCCAGCAGCCGCGGUAAUACGAAGGGGGCUAGCGUUGCUCGGAAUUACUGGGCGUAAAGGGCGCGUAGGCGGACAGCUUAGUCAGAGGUGAAAGCCCAGGGCUCAACCUUGGAAUUGCAUUUGAUACUGGCUGUCUUGAGUUUGGGAGAGGUGAGUGGAACUCCGAGUGUAGAGGUGAAAUUCGUAGAUAUUCGGAAGAACACCAGUGGCGAAGGCGACUCACUGGCCCAAUACUGACGCUGAGGCGCGAAAGCGUGGGGAGCAAACAGGAUUAGAAACCCCGGUAGUCC